rnacentral:rRNA from 1 species
UACGGAGGGUGCAAACGUUGCUCGGAAUCACUGGGCGUAAAGCGCACGUAGGCGGCUUUGUAAGUCGGAUGUGAAAGCCCUCGGCUCAACCGAGGAAGUGCAUUCGAAACUGCAAGGCUUGAGUAUGGAAGAGGGUCGCGGAAUUCCCGGUGUAGAGGUGAAAUUCGUAGAUAUCGGGAGGAACACCAGUGGCGAAGGCGGCGACCUGGGCCAAUACUGACGCUGAGGUGCGAAAGCGUGGGGAGCAAACAGG